CUCCAGGCACUGUAACGGCUUCAUCUCAUUCAAGUGGUUAUAGUGUCUGGAGAGCCCUUGUGCUAUCCCUAUAAUUACUGGUAAACCUUGAUUAAUUAACGCUAAACGAGAGACUGCAGCAGCCCAUCCUCUCUCUGCUACUCAACUGAUAAAAACAUUUUUUUUAAAGAAUUACCAUAAGCAACUGUAGGUGGCAGUGAUUGACUGAGAGUGUCAGCUUUAAAUGCUUGGAAAUGCUGCACAAUACAGAGUUUAAC